GACGAACGCUGGCGGCGUGCUUAACACAUGCAAGUCGAACGGAAAGGCCCUGCUUUUGUGGGGUGCUCGAGUGGCGAACGGGUGAGUAACACGUGAGUAACCUGCCCUUGACUUUGGGAUAACUUCAGGAAACUGGGGCUAAUACCGGAUAGGAGCUCCUGCUGCAUGGUGGGGGUUGGAAAGUUUCGGCGGUUGGGGAUGGACUCGCGGCUUAUCAGCUUGUUGGUGGGGUAGUGGCUUACCAAGGCUUUGACGGGUAGCCGGCCUGAGAGGGUGACCGGCCACAUGGGACUGAGAUACGGCCCAGACUCCUACGGGAGGCAGCAGUGGGGAAUAUUGCACAAUGGGCGGAAGCCUGUGGCAGCAACGCCGCGUGCGGGAGGACGGCCUUCGGGUUGUAAACCGCUUUCGCCUGUGACGAAGCGUGAGUGACGGUAAUGGGUAAAGAAGCACCGGCUAACUACGU
rnacentral:rRNA from 1 species